AAAUGGUGGUACCGUGCCCUAUCAUCACCUUCUCCCGUUCUUCGUAUCGGUCAUCACGGUGUGAACACGCGCGCUACACUUCCUUUCUCCAUAUCAUAGCAUUAGAGUUUGUGGACCAUAGUUUUCAAGAGUCCAAUCUGAAACCGAGCUCUCUGCUACCAAUUCGUGUUUUAUAUCCUCAAUUUAGCACUCUUCUUCACAUGUUAAUCUAGGGUUUUUCUGCAGCAUUCACUUGAACAACCUUGCCGGAACGGGAAGUAUGUCCAAGCGGAAAUUCGGAUUCGAAGGGUUUGGAAUAAACCGCCAAACCACCUACAACUUCGAGCGUCCCCAAGCUCCGCAACGGCUUUACGUUCCUCCGUCGUCGCGCCACGGCCAUGAUAACUAUGAAGACACCGACCUUGACAACAUCGAUUACGUCGAGAAUGACAACGCCAGGGAUACUUCAGCUGAUGAUAUUAAAGAUAAUGGUGCUGAAGACGAAGAAAUUGAUCCUCUAGACGCGUUCAUGCAGGGAAUACAUGAGGAGAUGAAGGCGGCUCCGCCUCCGAAGCCGAAACAGAAGGCGGAGAAGUAUAGGGAUGACGAUGAUGAUGAUCCUAUGGAGAGCUUUUUGAAGGCGAAGAAGGAUAUCGGCUUGACGCUAGCGGCAGAUGCUCUGCACGCAGGUUACAAUUCGGAUGAGGAGGUUUACGCGGCUGCAAAAGCGGUGGAUGCGGGAUUGGUGGAGUACGAUUCAGAUGAUAAUCCAGUGGUAGUUGACAAGAAGAAGAUCGAGCCGAUUCCAGCUCUGGACCAUAGUUUGAUUGAUUAUGAGCCAUUUGACAAGGAUUUUUAUGAGGAGAAGCCGUCAAUAUCUGGGAUGAGUGAGCAUGAUGUUGCUGAAUACCGGAAAAGUUUGGCUAUCCGUGUUUCGGGUUUUGAUGUACCCAGGCCAAUAAAGACAUUUGAAGACUGUAGUUUUUCAUCACAACUGAUGAAUGCUAUAGCAAAACAAGCUUAUGAAAGGCCUACUGCAAUACAGUGUCAAGCGUUGCCUAUUGUGCUGUCUGGGAGAGAUAUCAUUGGUAUAGCAAAAACAGGUUCUGGUAAGACUGCUGCUUUUGUACUUCCCAUGAUUGUACAUAUUAUGGAUCAACCUGAACUCCAGAAAGGAGAGGGGCCAAUUGGGGUGAUUUGUGCACCUACUAGAGAAUUAGCCCACCAAAUAUAUUUGGAAGCAAAGAAAUUUGCUAAAUCGCAUGGGAUACGUGUCUCAGCUGUCUAUGGUGGGAUGUCAAAGCUUGAUCAGUUCAAAGAACUUAAGGCAGGAUGUGACAUUGUUGUUGCCACUCCAGGGAGAUUAAUAGACUUGUUAAAGAUGAAGGCACUGAAUAUGUUUAAGGCAACUUACUUGGUACUUGAUGAGGCUGAUCGAAUGUUUGACCUGGGAUUUGAGCCACAAAUAUGGUCUAUUGUUGGUCAGAUCAGGCCAGACCGCCAGACCUUACUCUUUUCAGCUACAAUGCCUCACAAGGUGGAAAAGUUAGCUAGGGAGAUACUCACUGACCCUGUAAGAGUUACAGUGGGGGAGGUGGGAAUGGCCAAUGAAGAUAUUACUCAGGUUGUUCAAGUAAUUCCUUCUGAUGCAGAGAAGUUGCCUUGGCUUAUUGAAAAAUUACCUGGAAUGAUUGAUGAUGGUGAUGUUCUAGUUUUUGCUUCUAAAAAAGCUACUGUUGAUGAGAUUGAAUCACAGUUGGUGCAGAAGGGGUUUAAAGUUGCAGCUCUUCAUGGUGACAAAGACCAGGCUUCUCGGAUGGAUACUUUGCAAAAAUUCAAAUCUGGUGUCUAUCAUGUGCUUAUUGCAACUGAUGUUGCUGCUCGUGGACUUGACAUCAAAUCAAUCAAGUCAGUGGUGAACUUUGAUAUCUCAAGAGACAUGGACAUGCAUGUGCAUCGAAUUGGUAGGACUGGUCGUGCUGGUGACAAAGAUGGGAUUGCAUACACUCUUAUUACUCAGAAAGAAGCACGGUUUGCUGGUGAACUGGUUAACAGUUUGAUUGCUGCUGGUCAGAAUGUCUCUGGGGAACUUAUGGAUCUUGCUAUGAAGGAUGGGAGAUUCAGGUCCAAACGUGAUGCAAGAAAGGGAGGUGGGAAAAAAGGUAGAGGGAGGAGUGGAGGUGGUCGAGGUGUGCGUGGAGUGGAUUAUGGACUUGGCAUUGGCUAUAAUCCAGAGACCAACAGUACUCCAUCUCAAGCUGCAACAAGUAGAUCUGCUGCAGUUAAUUCACCAAGGACUGGGAUGAUGGGUCAAUUCAAGAGUAAUUUUGUUGCUGUUUCAUCAAACUCACAAAGUUCUAGUGCUAAUGCCAAAAAGAGACCAGCAUUAACUGGAUUUGUCUCUGGUGGUUCCAUUGGUGGAGACAUAAAUAGAACUCAGACACCUAUCUCAAUACCUGGUUUUGUCUCUGGUGGCUCAAUUAGUGGAGAUGCAAAUAGAACAGUGACAACCAGCUCAUUACCCGGUUUUGUCUCAGGUGGUUCAAUUAGUGGAGAUACAAAUAGAACUGUUACAACCAGCUCAUUACCUGGUUUUGUCUCUGGCGGUUCAGUUGGUGGAUAUGCUGAUAGAACUCAGCCAAGCAGUCAGAAGAAUCAGAAUACUGGAGGAAAUCCUGGUCAAUCCAAAGAAAGUUCCAGGGAUAGAGGUAGAGAAAGGCGAAGGCCAUCCGGUUGGGACCAUUGAUGCUACUUUCACAUGGAUGAGAACUUCUUUCUUCAAGGACAAUACGUAUUUCUCUGCCGAUGAACAAACGCCAGGAUAACUGUUAAUGUUCACAUGCUAUCAAGCCAAGGGGAAGGAGUACAGUUUAUUGUAUGUUUGCUUGCAGUCCAUCAAAGGAGAGGCGCAAGGCAGAUGACGUGUAUCAAACUCGACACGAGGGCCGAGAGCUCUAGGUUUCUCGACGACAAAUUUGGGUGGCAAGGGCGCGAAGUACAUGAUGAGCGGCCGAAGCAAGCCAGUGCCUCCAUUUUCACCCCUUCGUUGUUUGAACCACUUUUCACUUUUACCUGGGACAUUAAAGAACAUAAUACUGGUUAGUUUAUUAUACUAUGUUUGAAAAAGUGUAAUCACUAUAUUUUGUUUAUUUGAAAAAAAAUAGAUAUAUUUAUGUGCUGCCA